GAUUUUGACAUUUGGGAUAAUUUUAAAUAUUGUUCUCUUAUACUGUAAAUCAAGAAAUGAUUAUUAGAAUUUAGUUUGGGAUUAUCAAGGGCACUAAGAACGCUCAUACUAUCUGUGACAAUUAACCAGUUAUUAUAUUCCUGUUUCUCUAUAUAUUCCAGUGCCUUUAAAAUAGCCAUAGCUUCAGCGGUAUAUAUGCUAGCAAGUUCAGACAAUUCCUGAGCUAUAUAAGGAAGGCUAGAACUGUUACCAGAGGAAAAACAAUGAAUUAUUUUCAAGACAAGAGGAUGAUUAGUUAUAGAUAGAAGUUUAAGGAUAAACUUGGAUUUUAAGAACGAAAACCUUAAUUUCAACGGAGGGAUGUUGCAUUCCACUUGCAAUGAGAUUAUAGGGGUAGACCUCAUAGCUCCAACAACUAUGCGUAAACACUUGUUUUGAAUUUUUUCCAAUUUUUCCACCAAAUAUGAGACAUUACCAAAACAAUAAAAAGCAUAUUCAAAGUGACUUCUAGCUAUAGAUUUAUACAAAUUUAAUAGUAUUUUUGGGUCUGCUCCCCAAUAAGUACUAGCCAAAGAUCUCAAGAUAUUUACAGCUUUGGUUGCACGAUUUAUCAAGCAAUCAACAUAUUUAUUCCAUUUGAAAUUGCUCUGAAAUGUUACACCCAGAAACUUUGUGUUUUUCUCUACUGCAUUGAUUUCAAGAUUUAGUUGAUCGAAAUACAAUUUUAGUUUUGAUAAAGCAGAGUUUAAUUUGUCUUGGACUUCUAUUUUAUUGUUACCAGAGGUGUACACAACUAGAUCAUCUGCAAAUUGAAUUUGCAGAGAACCAAGAAUAGACGCUAAUGUUUCUAAAUUAACAUUAUUAAAAGCUCCAACAACAUCAAAAAACACACAACAAAGGAUUCCUCUAGAGGACAGUGCAUCAUGUAUAUCCAGAUUCAAAUGAUUCAGACUCUCCCGAGCUGAACGACCACGCCUAAAACCAAAUUGAUUAAAAGAUUGACAUGCUGAGGAAAGUUCAAGGAGUGCAUUGGAGCACUGACUACAGGAUCAACAAUUAACUUAACAAGAGUGGGCAAAUGAUAACUACCAAGAGAAUCCGAAUGUACCUUCCAAUCACAAGACAAUGCUAAUGAAGCAGACACAAUAGUUAAGUCAAGUCCAUUAGCCCUUCGAUCAUAAGAACCAACAGUAGUUGGCUGACCAUCGUUCAGAAGAACCAAAUCAUUUUCAUCUAUAGAAUCCACAAUAGAUCUACCCCGAGAAUCAACACUAGAACAACCCCAAAUGGAAUGAUGAGCAUUGAAAUCACCAGCAAUAAAAAUAGGUUUGGGAAUACUGUUUAACAAACUGUUAAAUUUAUUUUUAUCGAAGUGUGUGCUACCUGGACUAUAAAAACUAACGAAAGAAAUAAACUUUUUAUUAAUUUGUAAUUUAAUAACUAUGUUUUGUAAUGAAUCAUCAAAAUAUGAUUCAAUUUUUUUAUAGUUUAAUGUAUUUUUAAUUAAGAUAGCUACACCAUUGUGGUCAUUACCACAAUCGUUUCUCACAAUAGUGUAACCUCUCAUUGAAAAUUGUAUUUGUGGCUUAAGCCAUGUUUCGGAAAUUAAACAUACAUGUAUAUUAUUUUCAUAAAGGAAGUUUUGCAACUCUAGUUGAUUGCUUAGCAAACUUUGUGCAUUCCAUUGCAUAAUAUUUAGGACUUGAUUUGUGAAUUUUGAUUAUUUUUAUUUUUAAACUCAAAAGUUUCUUUUAUGGUAUCUGUAAUUGUUUUUGAAUUUAUAUUGGUGUUCUGGGUUUUAUUUAAAUGAAUAACUUUAAUUAUAGUUUCUGUAAUAAGAUUCAAUAUAUUUUUGUCAGACAUGAAUAAGUCAAGCAAAUUUUUUGUUUGUUCAGCCUUAUUAAGUGAUGGGAAAUUUUGAGCAUUAAAUAGAUCUGAGAAUUUAGCUUUA